rnacentral:lncRNA from 1 species
UCUGCCAAGAAAAUAUCAACGAAAUCACCAUCUGUAACACCAUAGCACCCACUUAGCAACACCUUAAAACCACCUGAAACACUUGUGAUUAGAGACAUGAACUGAAUUGUCCCUGGUCAAGGGUAGGCAGGAAGCGUAGGGGGCUUGAUUCGGAAUGGGACGCGGCCACUUCACCGCUGUUGUUAUGAUCCACCCUCGAUGUCUCGAUGGCUACUUCUGAGGCCCCUCCCUCCCUACUAGCAACUGAAGUUGAGACUAGAACCAUCUUCAUAUCUGUCAAACACGCGUCACGAAACUACUGGAAACCAGGUUUCACCCUGAGUCCGUCCUUCAGUUCGGGUUCUGCUGAAUUUUUAUUAAGUUGGGUUUAUUCCUGUGGUGUUAAGGAUGCACUCGGGGGCGGUAGAGAAGGCUGGCUCGCCCAGAAAACGCGUCCUCUCCCGGGGGAUGAGCGAGGAAGAGACGCUGCGGCAUAUUAUAAAAGAGGCUGAAGAGUCGAACAAGCGCACUUUAUCACGCAGCGACAGCAGAUAUGGAUCACUCAAACGAGGAGAAACAAGAGAAAGCCUGCUGGAGCUUCAGGCAAACUAUGAAGACUCUUUGCAGGAGCUGCAGACCCUCGAGCUCAGGCAGGAGGUGCUGUUAUUCCAGGUGGACUGUCUCCAGGAUGCCCUCCAGGGAGCUGAAGAGAUGCUCGCUGAGACGCAGAGAGAAUCUCAAGAAGCCCAUAUGGAGCUGGAGCGAGAGAGGGAGCGGAGGAGGAAGCUGGAGGAUUCUGUAGCUCGGCUGGUGCAGGAGGUGGAGCGGUUGAAGGAGGAAAACAGUUCUCUUUCUGCUGAGCUGGUCAGAAGCACCGCUGAGACCGUUGGAGCCGAAGGUAACCUUGUUGAUGCAGUAGAUGGAGGAGUUCCCAACUCCACCCCCAGUUCAGAUGGAGUCUCACAGUCUUCAGCCUCUACUUUUGCAUCUUCAGAACAGAAGAUGUUGGGUAUUCUGACCUCCUUGUUCAAGAACAGAAGACUGGAGCCUAGCUUAUUAAAGCCUGCAGGUCCUCAGAGCUCUUCAGGAGGAUCGUCGGUGGACCAGGAAGUGAAGGAACCUGAGAAACCGGCUGAGCUGAGGGCGGAGUCAGGGCUUGAGGGUGGAGUUAGCCAGAAAGCUCUGGACGGGGAGGAAAAUGAUGAGAGCAGUGGGUAUGAAGACGCACCAUCAGAGUUCUCACCCGCCUCAACUCCGGAGGGCUGCGCUGGGCUGUUGGAAGAUGAAGUUGUUACUGAAGAUGGAGAACCAAGCAACAGUGAUGAUCCUAUAUUCCAGAAGAACCCAGGAGACUCCUGCAUUCUGUCUUAA